UACGUAGGGCGCAAGCGUUGUCCGGAUUCACUGGGUUUAAAGGGUGCGUAGGAGGGCAGGUAAGUCAGUGGUGAAAUCCCCGAGCUUAACUUGGGAACUGCCGUUGAUACUAUCUGUCUUGAAUAUCGUGGAGGUGAGCGGAAUAUGUCAUGUAGCGGUGAAAUGCUUAGAUAUGACAUAGAACACCAAUUGCGAAGGCAGCUCGCUACACGAAUAUUGACUCUGAGGCACGAAAGCGUGGGGAUCAAACAGG
rnacentral:rRNA from 1 species